AGUGAACGCUGGCGGUAGGCCUAACACAUGCAAGUCGAACGGCGGCACAGUAAGAGCUUGCUCUUACGGGUGGCGAGUGGCGGACGGGUGAGGAAUACAUCGGAAUCUACUUUUUCGUGGGGGAUAACGUAGGGAAACUUACGCUAAUACCGCAUACGACCUACGGGUGAAAGCAGGGGAUCUUCGGACCUUGCGCGAUUGAAUGAGCCGAUGUCGGAUUAGCUAGUUGGCGGGGUAAAGGCCCACCAAGGCGACGAUCCGUAGCUGGUCUGAGAGGAUGAUCAGCCACACUGGAACUGAGACACGGUCCAGACUCCUACGGGAGGCAGCAGUGGGGAAUAUUGGACAAUGGGCGCAAGCCUGAUCCAGCCAUACCGCGUGGGUGAAGAAGGCCUUCGGGUUGUAAAGCCCUUUUGUUGGGAAAGAAAAGCAGCAGGUUAAUACCCCGCUGCUCUGACGGUACCCAAAGAAUAAGCACCGGCUAACUUCGUG
rnacentral:rRNA from 1 species